GUGCUCACUUGAGCAGCACAUACACUGAAAUUGGAAUGACACUGGGAUUAGCAGGGCCCCUGCGCAAGGAUAACAUGCAAAUUCAUAAAGUGUUCCAUAUUUUU
rnacentral:snRNA from 1 species